rnacentral:rRNA from 1 species
AUGUGCCUACGGGGGGCAGCAGUGGGGAAUUUUGGACAAUGGGCGCAAGCCUGAUCCAGCUAUUCCGCGUGUGGGAUGAAGGCCCUCGGGUUGUAAACCACUUUUGUAGAGAACGAAAAGACACCUUCGAAUAAAGGGUGUUGCUGACGGUACUCUAAGAAUAAGCACCGGCUAACUACGUGCCAGCAGCCGCGGUAAUACGUAGGGUGCGAGCGUUAAUCGGAAUUACUGGGUGUAAAGGGUGCGCAGGCGGUUGAGUAAGGCAGAUGUGAAAUCCCCGCGCU